rnacentral:rRNA from 1 species
CAGCAGUGAGGAAGUGGGUAUGUUAAUAGCAUAUUCAUUUGACGUUUAGCUGCAGAAGAAGCACCGGCUAACUCCGUGCCAGCAGCCGCGGUAAUACGGAGGGUGCGAGCGUUAAUCGGAAUUACUGGGCGUAAAGCGCAUGCAGGUGGUUUGUUAAGUCAGAUGUGAAAGCCCGGGGCUCAACCUCGGAAUUGCAUUUGAAACUGGCAAACUAGAGUACUGUAGAGGGGGUAGAAUUUCAGGUGUAGCGGUGAAAUGCGUAGAGAUCUGAAGGAAUACCGGUGGCGAAGGCGGCCCCCUGGACAGAUACUGACACUCAGAUGCGAAAGCGUGGGGAGCAAACAGGAUUAGAUACCCUGGUAG